GAAAGGUAGCGAAGUGGUCGUAACGCGCUCGACUCGAAAUCGAGUUAUCGGCGAUGAACCGGUACGUGGGUUCGAAUCCCACCCUUUCC
rnacentral:tRNA from 1 species